AGAUAACCUCACCAAGAAACUAAGAAGUGUUCUAAACAAAGAACAAAAAGAGAAACUCAUAAAAAGGAGAAAACAAUCUGAUUUAUUUCGUGGCUCUAAGGCCUUAUUUAUAGGAUUACAAGUUGUAGAGAUCCAAAGAAGAAUGUGCUAAAAACAAGACAUUGGAAAUAGAAACAAAGACUUGACUAAAUAAAGUCUUUGACUGAAACUUGGACUACUUCUUCAUAUAGCCACGACCAGGACUUUGAAAGGUUAAGAAUAUACUCCUGAUAUGGGCCAAGACAUGUCCCUUUGAGGUCUGGUCGAAAUCCAUCUUUUCCCUUAGCCAAUAUUUUAUCGGUUUCUCUAUUUGGGCCAAACAAGCUCGUUUUUGAAUCUUUUUGAAAACCAUCAAGCCCAAUUCUUUCUUGGACAUUUAGAACAUGAAUAAUCACCUUUGUCAUGAUUGAAUUGGCCGUUGGUUAAUCAGAAAGAAGGUUAGCCAUUUCGAGCUUCUCGGGUGGUCUGAAUUCGCGAGAACUAAAGAUCACUUGAUUUGUAAAUAGCAUAACUAUCACAUAUGAACUCCGUUUGAUCUGAUUCUUCUUCGAGGAGCUCCGUAAUUGAGUUGAUAACAUUCUCCAAGUGAUUUCAUGUGUAGAAGCCUCGUGGUUUAGAAGAUAUGAGUCAAACAAUGAACAUAUAUCAUUACUGCUUCCAAUGAUCAAACCAUGCAUGUCUGUUUUGCCCGGUGCGCUACUCCAUGGCACAUCAUUCCCUCCCUCUUCAAAAGGAUUUGACCUCAAAUCAAUUUUACCUGAAUCAAAAUAAAAUGAAUCAGACAAAAAUAAUUUUAAAAUCAUGUAAAUUUCAGAGAAGGAAAAUUUUGGACAAAAACUUCCUUGGAGUUUUGAACUUAUUUCCCUCAAGUAUUUCCAGUUCCAUGUUCGAAGAACAUAAGUCCUUAGGCGUUCUCCAGCGCUUUCUCUCCUUGGAAACUGAUCAUGCUUAACCUGUUCAUUCAAAAUAACUCGAGAAACCACAUCAAAUCUGCGAAAGAAAUAAUCCAAGGGUUUCUCUAUCCUUAAGACAUCAAAAUCAGGAUCCAAGCCCUUAGGAUAAUAAUCAAGGACGUGGGCAAUCAUUAAGCAAGUAAGCUGGUUGCCAAAAAUUGAUUUAUCAAUCUCAAAAUCAGGCGAAGGUGAGAAACUGUUAUGGAAAGAAAGAGACAAUGCCAAAUUUGAAAAAUUAUCAUCAUGAACGAAAUCAAAAGAAUUCUUUGGCCUAAGCAAUUUUAGUUCAUGCUUUUUCCUACACCAAAUCUCUUUCAAAGCACAGCUCAAUGAAAUCAAUUCAUGAAAAGGUUUGAGCAAAACGUUUUUCAACCAAGUAAGAAUAUGUUUUCUUUUUGAAAUUCUCGGUUUCAAAACAUUUUCAUGAAGAGUAGAGGCAAUCAACUCAUGAUCCUUACAGUGCUUUUGGUUUAGACAGGAGAAUGACCGAGGAAACACCUUUGGUUCAUGGAGGAUCGGUUUUGGCUCAGGUCGAUUCUUUCUGGGGCAUGAAUCUCCUUUAGAAAUCUGGUACUCGCGGAUAGAUGGACUGAAGAACCUCCGGUUUGGAAAAUUCAUAACUUCUUCAUCCGUGAAGCUUUUCAUGCGUUUCCAAGCCUCAGUGAAUCCUUGAUGAGUUGGCUUUCUUGUAAAAUUGGAUUCAAGACAAAAGACCGUCGGACUAUUGAGAUAUCCUUCUUGGGCUGAACCUCUGUCGCUGGCACCAAGGUAGCCGGUUUGAACAACAAAGCUUCUCCAAAUCUGAGGUUGUUGGGCACGGCCAAUGCUUUCAUUCAGAGGCUGAACCUGUCUUUCCUGGAUACUCAAAACAAACACUAAAAGACCAGGAUCAAAUGUGCAAGAUAAAUAUUUGUUCAAAUCACAAAUCAAGAUAUCUUUUCCAAGAACAAAUUGCACAUUUUUCAGCCUUUCAAGGUGCUCAUCAAAGUAAAUAUUACAGACAAGAAUUUUAUCAAGAUAUGCAACAACAGUAUUCAUUUUCAAAAUGGGCAUAUCCUUCCCAACAUCUGAACACACAAGCUUAAGUUCAGUUUGAGAAUCAUUUAUCAAAAGUUCAAGGCAUUUCUCAAAGAAUGUGUUGUAAACCAAAAUAUCAUCAGAACUCAAGACAACACCAUUAUCACGAAAUGAUCUCAGAAAAUGCCAAGUAUUAUCAGUUUCAAAACUCAAGAGAUCAGGCUGCAAAACAGAACCACAAAAUUCAAGAUCACGAAAAUCAUUUUCAGUUUCAAGUGAUUUCUGUUCCAGCAACUUCUGAAUCAAAAUUUCGUCCGAGGCAUAAGAGAAUGCAAACAAUUCAUCAGUGAUCAGUACAUGUCUAGAAGAACUCAGAUCAAAGCCAUUUCCUUUGCAAACAAACAAAUCAAGAGAUUUUUCAGCACAAAAAUCAGUUUGUUGCAAAUCAAGAUCAAAUGGCCUUCCAAGAAGAUGAAAACCUUUGUUAUGUUCCAAGAACUGAUCAAAGUUCAAAAUAAUUCCAGAAGUGAUGCCAUUGACAUUUUGAAAACGUGAUUGAUCAAGACAUUUAUCAGGUUCAAAGAUUUUUAAAGAAUUAAUCAUGUUAUCAAAAACAGAUUUUGAAACAAAAAAAAUUUUCAUCUUGUCAAGACCAAAACGAAUUACAUCAUCAGUACUGACUUUCACAAACAUGUCAGGCAGAGAAUUAAGAGAAGAAGUUUCCUCACAGUGCUCUUGAAGAUCCGGAGGUAAAGGGGCAGGAGUUGUGCCGGGAUCAAAGCAUAGAUAAUUCUCCAUAGCAAUGGAUGUGAUGCUUGUUGCUUCUUCAUCAAAGACUGGACCAGGUUCGUCCUCCUCAUCAAAGAUAGGACCUAGAUCAUCAUCCAAACAUAUCCUAGUGUCAAGACAUGGGCACUGAUGUGGAAAAUCCAGUGGCUCUUCCUCAAAAACCUGUGGAGACAAAACAAGACUACUCGGAAGCUCCGGUUGCAAAACAGUUAGUUCUACAAUAGCUUCUUCAUUAUCAAGAUUAAACUCAGUUUCAAGAGAAGGAAGAUCACAAUCUUUUUCACAAAACAUCAAGCUUUCAAUUAGCUCUUCAUCAGAUUCAUCAAAAAUGGGUAGAGAAUCAGAAAAAUCUUUAAGUUCUUCAAAAUGGUUUUCAGAUUCACCUUGGGCUUUCUUACUGAUGAACAAGGAUGGCUCAGCUACUGGGACACGUGUAGAUGUGCUCUUCUUUUGGCUCUUGCUGAAGUCCUUAAGGGCUUUGUCCACUCCCUUCACAAGGUUAUCACAAAUUUGUUGGACAUCAAUUUGAAAGGGUUGCCUUUUUGGAUCAGCCACAUCUCUGGUUGUUUUUCUCCUUAUGGCUGGCUGUUCCUGCACACUAACAAACUCAUCAAAAUAAUUCAAAGGAUAUUUAAAAGGAGUUUGAGAGUUAAAAUUUCGUUGAGGCUUCUCCUUGUUACUUUUCCUUUGCAAACCAAACAUCAUAAACCUGAAAAAUCUCAACACAAAAGUUAGUAGAUAAAAACCUCACACUCUCAAGUGUUUGAUCCUCACCCACACAAGUGUUUCUCUCAGAUUUAGGUGAUCACACACAAGUUUUUACUCAAUGUUCUAAGAGAACAAAUCAAAGAAUCCCAAUGGGUAAAUCCAAGCAAACAAGGGAAUUUUCUCAAGAUAGAAAGAUAAGAGAUUUUGAUUUUUGAAAUCCGUUUUAACCACCUCAAAGGCUGGAUUUCUCCUCAGCCAGCAGGCUUUCUCUUCCACCACCAAUCCCCAAAUGAAACUUUCGAUUUCUAUUUUUUUUUUUUUUUUUUUAAUGUAGAUUUUUUUUUUUUUUUUUUUUAUGAUAUGGUGGAUGGUAAUGAGUGGCCCGGAUUCAAGAAAGGUAGAAGAAGAAGUGUUUAAAGAAGAUGGAGAUAUGAGAAGAUGGGAUGAUAAUAGAGUUACCGGAAGAGUUGCUCUGAUACCACUUGAUAGAACCAAAAUAAGGAUCACUCUUUCGGUAAGGUUGAUAUGAACUCAGAUCCGAGAGGAUUGAGAACUGAUGGUAUGAACGGUGACACUAAGGGUUGCGGAAUAGCCCAAAGAUACUACCAGACUUCGAUCGUUGCCGGAUGUGACGCACCGGUCCAACAAAAGAAGGAUCGAAACUUGGAGAUAACCUCACCAAGAAACUAAGAAGUGUUCUAAACAAAGAACAAAAAGAGAAACUCAUAAAAAGGGGAAAACAAUCUGAUUUAUUUCGUGGCUCUAAGGCCUUAUUUAUAGGAUUACAAGUUGUAGAGAUCCAAAGAAGAAUGUGCUAAAACAGACAUUGGAAAUAGAAACAAAGACUUGACUAAAUAAAGUCUUUGACUGAAACUUGGACUACUUCUUCAUAUAGCCACGACCAGGACUUUGAAAGGUUAAGAAUAUACUCCUGAUAUGGGCCAAGACAUGUCCCUUUGAGGUCUGGUCGAAAUCCAUCUUUUCCCUUAGCCAAUAUUUUAUCGGUUUCUCCAUUUGGGCCAAACAAGCUCGUUUUUGAAUCUUUUUGAAAACCAUCAAGCCCAAUUCUUUCUUGGACAUUUA
rnacentral:lncRNA from 1 species